GCGCACGCAGGCGGUCUGUCAAGUCGGAUGUGAAAUCCCCGGGCUCAACCUGGGAACUGCAUUCGAAACUGGCAGGCUAGAGUCUUGUAGAGGGGGGUAGAAUUCCAGGUGUAGCGGUGAAAUGCGUAGAGAUCUGGAGGAAUACCGGUGGCGAAGGCGGCCCCCUGGACAAAGACUGACGCUCAGGUGCGAAAGCGUGGGGAGCAAACAGGAUUAGAUACCCUGGUAGUCCACGCCGUAAACGAUGUCUAUUUGGAGGUUGUGCCCUUGAGGCGUGUCUUCCGGAGCUAACGCGUUAAAUCGACCGCCUGGGGAGUACGGCCGCAAGGUUAAAACUCAAAUGAAUUGACGGGGGCCCGCACAAGCGGUGGAGCAUGUGGUUUAAUUCNAUGCAACGCGAAGAACCUUACCUGGUCUUGACAUCCACAGAACUUACCAGAGAUGCUUUGGUGCCUUCCGGAACUGUGAGACAGGUGCUGCAUGGNUGUCGUCAGCUCGUGUUGUGAAAUGUUGGGUUAAGUCCCGCAACGAGCGCAACCCUUAUCCUUUGUUGCCAGCNNUUCNGCCGGGAACUCAAAGGAGACUGCCAGUGAUAAACUGGAGGAAGGUGGGGAUGACGUCAAGUCAUCAUGNCCCUUACGACCAGGGCUACACACGUGCUACAAUGGNCAUAUACAAAGAGAAGCNANCUCGCGAGAGCNAGCNNACCUCAUAAAGUAUGUCNNAGUCCGGAUUGGAAGUCUGCAACUCGNCUACAUGAAGUCGGAAUCGCUAGUAAUCGNAGAUCAGAAUGCUNCGGUGAAUACGUUCCCGGGCCUUGNNCNCACCGCCCGUCACACCAUGGNNAGUUGGGUNGCAACAGAAGU
rnacentral:rRNA from 1 species